rnacentral:lncRNA from 1 species
GGAGUCUGGCCACGGGUAGAGAGCGCGGUGGCGCGGGCGCGGAACUGCGAUUCUGAGAAUCUUCACCCUGCAGCGGCAGCCCUGAGAAGCCUCGGCGCUUCUCACCUGCGUCUCUCUUGCCUGCCUGGCUCCAGCCCCGAGCCGCCUGGGCCCCGCGCACCUGUAGACCCGAGGCCCAGACUGCCUCUGCCCCUAAUGCUUUUCCGGGCUUGGCAGAGGGGUUCCCGGCGGGGAUUCCUGGGGUCGCGCUGGUGAUACGCAGUGAAGAAAGGCGAGCUGCUGCGUCCGAGCUGGGUGCUCUCCGAGCGCAGGGAGGCGGGCUGCCAUCGGCGGGGCGCCUCUGGGGAGCCCGGGCCGGCGAACCCGCGCGCAAUCUCCGCGGGUCCCGGGCGCCGAGGCCGGGACGGCCGGCGCUUUCGCCUUAGAUGGAAAUGGGGACCGGGCCUCCGGACCCUCUACCGUGGAUUACUUGGUGCAUCUCGGCCGGGCUUGAUGACCCACGACCUCGUCUCCAUCCGUGGAUUGGUGCGUGCUACCCAACAGUCUGGUCGCUUCCCUGGAGGCUGUCCACGCUGGACUGUCCUUUGUGGACCCGCAAGUGUGUGGAUGUCUCGGUCCUCACCACGUCCUCCAGACCCGGCAAGCUCGGCUCAGAGAAGGAAAGCGCCUUCCCCCGCGUCGCCCAACAGGGCCUGUGGGCGCCUCCGGCCCCGCUGUGUCUGCUUCUGAAGUCUCUGUCUGCCCAAAGCUGGAGGCCAGGCGGAGGGUCCCAGGUGGGAGGAGGGCAGCUGAGGGGUGGGCAGCGGCUUAUAGGUCACUGUGG